GAUGAACGCUGGCGGCGUGCCUAAUACAUGCAAGUCGAGCGAACAGACGAGGAGCUUGCUCCUCUGACGUUAGCGGCGGACGGGUGAGUAACACGUGGAUAACCUACCUAUAAGACUGGGAUAACUUCGGGAAACCGGAGCUAAUACCGGAUAAUAUAUUGAACCGCAUGGUUCAAUAGUGAAAGACGGUUUUGCUGUCACUUAUAGAUGGAUCCGCGCCGCAUUAGCUAGUUGGUAGGGUAACGGCUUAUCAAGGCGACGAUGCGUAGCCGACCUGAGAGAGUGAUCGGCCACACUGGAGCUGAGACACGGUCCAGACUCCUACGGGAGGCAGCAGUCGGGAAUCUUCCGCAAUGGGCGAAAGCCUGACGGAGCAACGCCGCGUGAGUGAUGAAGGUCUUCGGAUCGUAAAACUCUGUUAUUAGGGAAGAACAAAUGUGUAAGUAACUAUGCACGUCUUGACGGUACCUAAUCAGAAAGCCACGGCUAACUACGUG
rnacentral:rRNA from 1 species